rfam:Triticum aestivum genome assembly, contig: Triticum_aestivum_CS42_TGACv1_scaffold_031435_1BL
CAAUGACUCUCUCCGUUCCGAAUUACUUGUCGCACGUAUAGAUGUAUCUAGAUGUAUUUUAGUUCUAGAUACAUCCAUUUCAGCGACGAGUAAUUUCGAACGGAGGGAGUAGUUG